UACGAAGGGUGCAAACGUUGCUCGGAAUUACUGGGCGUAAAGCGCGCGUAGGCGGUUUGAUAAGUCGAUUGUGAAAUCCCCGGGCUCAACCUGGGAAUUGCAGUCGAGACUGUCAGACUAGAGUGUGGGAGAGGGUGGUGGAAUUCCCGGUGUAGCGGUGAAAUGCGUAGAUAUCGGGAGGAACAUCAGUGGCGAAGGCGACCGCCUGGCCCAACACUGACGCUGAGGUGCGAAAGCGUGGGUAGCAAACAGG
rnacentral:rRNA from 1 species